rnacentral:rRNA from 1 species
UACAUGUGGGGCAAGCGUUGUUCGGAAUUACUGGGCAUAAAGGGUGCGUAGGCGGCUUGUUAAGUCAGGGGUGAAAGUUUUCGGCCCAACCGGAAAAUUGCCUUUGAUACUGGCGAGCUCGAGUGCGUGAGGGGUAACCGGAACGAGCAGUGUAGCGGUGAAAUGCGUAGAUAUUGCUCGGAAGGCCAACGGCGAAGGCAGGUUACUGGUACGCAACUGACGCUGGGGCACGAAAGCGUGGGGAGCAAACAGG